rnacentral:rRNA from 1 species
AGCAGCCGCGGUAAUUCCAGCUCCAAUAGCGUAUAUUAAAGUUGUUGCAGUUAAAAAGCUCGUAGUUGAAUUUCGGGGUUAGUAGGUUGGUCAUGCCUCUGGUAUGUACUGGUCUCACUGAUUCCUCCUUCCUGAUGAAUCUUAAUGCCAUUAAUUUGGUGUUUUGGGGAAUUUGGACUGUUACUUUGAAAAAAUUAGAGUGUUUAAAGCAAGCUAACGCUUGAAUACAUUAGCAUGGAAUAAUGAAAUAGGACGUUCGAUCCUAUUUUGUUGGUUUCUAGGAUUGACGUAAUGAUUAAUAGGGAUAGUUGGGGGCAUUAGUAGUCAAUUGUCAGAGGUGAAAUUCUUGGAUUUAUUGAAGACUAACUACUGCGAAAGCAUUUGCCAAGGAUGUUUUCAUUAAUCAAGAACGAAAGUUAGGGGAUCGAAGACGAUCAGAUACCGUCGUAGUCUUAACCAUAAACUAUGCCGACUAGGGAUCGGAUGAUGUUAAUUUUUUAAUGACUCA